UAAGGAAUAUUGGUCAAUGGACGCAAGUCUGAACCAGCCAUGCCGCGUGAAGGAUGAAGGUCCUCUGGAUUGUAAACUUCUUUUAUCUGGGACGAAAACAGGAUUUUUAUCUCAAUUGACGGUACCAGAGGAAUAAGCACCGGCUAACUCCGUGCCAGCAGCCGCGGUAAUACGGAGGGUGCGAGCGUUAUCCGGAUUUACUGGGUUUAAAGGGUGCGUAGGUGGGCUUAUAAGUCAGUGGUGAAAUCUCCGAGCUUAACUUGGAAACUGCCGUUGAUACUAUAGGUCUUGAAUUAUCUGGAGGUAAGCGGAAUAUGUCAUGUAGCGGUGAAAUGCUUAGAUAUGACAUAGAACACCGAUUGCGAAGGCAGCUUACUACAUAUAAAUUGACGCUGAGGCACGAAAGCGUGGGGAUCAAACA
rnacentral:rRNA from 1 species